GAAGGCCUUCAGUAACCCUCAAAGGCUUCCAUGGAAUCACAUGUUAUGGUUAGAUUAAUCAUAACUUUGACCAGUGAUGUGAAAAAAUCGUGGGAUCCGUUGAUGGGUUACUGAAAGCUUU
rnacentral:pre_miRNA from 1 species